rnacentral:lncRNA from 1 species
CUGUUCGACUAUAGAGGCCAAUCUGCCCAGAGCGACCCCACACUCGUCUUCCCGGGUAAUUACGGCUGAGCCAAGCUUCACCAUGACUCUUUUCUUAUUCUUUAAUUCCAUACGAUGUAGGGCAGCUUGUUUACCCGUAUAGAAGUCAUCAAAAGUCGUCAAACCAUUGCCAUUUAUAGUACUACUUAGGCCACGUUUACAAACUAGGUAGCGUUGAUUAACUACGAAACGAGCGCCUAAACAGACCCGAUUUCUGAUUGAAUACAUACUGUAGCAGUCUUUGAAAUUACUUUAGCAUUCCCAGUUCAAUUUAUGGCCAAAUACCGCACGUACAAGACAUUUUAUCACGUUUACUAAACAAAACUGUUAUCACAAAAUAUUUACGGCUUCGCUGUUCCUUUGACUGCCCCAUUGUUUUGGAAUUUUUAAUUUACAUGGUUGAUAUUCGCGUCCCUGAUUGGUCGAAUGUAGCUCGAAUGAACCGCAAGUCAAUGGGGUGAUGCAAUAAGUACAACACGUGCUAGAAAUGUUCCAAUCACGCCGCUAGAAAGGCGUCAUGGUUCCCAAAGAUG